rnacentral:tRNA from 1 species
GCCCGAGUGAUGGAAUUGGUAGACAUACAGGACUUAAAAUCCUGGGACCUUGCGUCGUGCCGGUUCAAGUCCGGCCUCGGGUA